ACUAAGGUAGGGGUUUUCUUAAAAUUUAUUUUAUCUUACAGAGUUGUUAUAAAUAGAUAUUAAUAUGAGAAACAUAUGUCUGUGAUUAUGAUUGUCUUAUACAUGUGGUUGUUUACUGGACUGAAUGACCGAUUGCUCGAUUGCUUGAGUAGUUUGUGAUUGCUGAAAAGAAAUUAGUUUGAAAGGUUAUUUAGUUGAUUAUUAUGAAAAGUGGCUUUCUUGGUUUUGAAGCUAUUUUUGAUAAUGUAAAUGAAUCGGCUCUAAAAAUGAUUUGAAAUAUGAAACUGAAUUAAUUUUGAAAGCGGUUUAAUUUUGAGUUAUAAGAAACUCAAUUUAUUUUGGA